UGGGGGAUAUUGCACAAUGGGGGAAACCCUGAUGCAGCGAUGCCGCGUGAGUGAAGACGGCCUUCGGGUUGUAAAGCUCUGUCGCAGAGGACGAAAAUGACGGUACUCUGCAAGAAAGCUCCGGCUAACUACGUGCCAGCAGCCGCGGUAAUACGUAGGGAGCAAGCGUUGUCCGGAAUUACUGGGUGUAAAGGGAGCGUAGGCGGGAGGAUAAGUUGAAUGUGAAAUCUAUGGGCUCAACCCAUAGCUGCGUUCAAAACUGUUCUUCUUGAGUGAAGUAGAGGCAGGCGGAAUUCCUAGUGUAGCGGUGAAAUGCGUAGAUAUUAGGAGGAACACCAGUGGCGAAGGCGGCCUGCUGGGCUUUUACUGACGCUGAGGCUCGAAAGCGUGGGUAGCAAACAGG
rnacentral:rRNA from 1 species